rnacentral:tRNA from 1 species
GGCGGCAUGGCCAAGCGGUAAGGUAGGGGACUGCAAAUCCUUUAUCCCCAGUUCAAACUGGUGCCGCCU